GGGGUGGCAGGCGAUACGGGCAUAACUAGAGUGCUGUAGGGGAGACUGGAAUUCCUGGUGUAGCGGUGGAAUGCGCAGAUAUCAGGAGGAACACCGAUGGCGAAGGCAGGUCUCUGGGCAGUAACUGACGCUGAGGAGCGAAAGCAUGGGGAGCGAACAGGAUUAGAUACCCUGGUAGUCCAUGCUGUAAACGGUGGGCGUUAGGUGUGGGGACCGGUUUGGUUUCUGUGCCGUAGCUAACGCAUUAAGCGCCCCGCCUGGGGAGUACGGCCGCAAGGCUAAAACUCAGAGGAAUUGACGGGGGCCCGCACAAGCGGCGGAGCAUGUGGAUUAAUUCGAUGCAACGCGAAGAACCUUACCUGGGUUUGACAUGCACCAGACGGUUGUAGAGAUACGUACCUCCCUUUGUGGUUGGUGUGCAGGUGGUGCAUGGUUGUCGUCAGCUCGUGUCGUGAGAUGUUGGGUUAAGUCCCGCAACGAGCGCAACCCUUGUCUUAUGUUGCCAGCACGUUUUUGGGUGGGGACUCAUGAGAGACUGCCGGGGUUAACUCGGAGGAAGGUGGGGAUGACGUCAAAUCAUCAUGCCCUUUAUGCCCAGGGCUUCACACAUGCUACAAUGGUUAGUACAACGCGCUGCGAACCUGUGAGGGUGAGCGAAUCGCUGAAAGCUAAUCUCAGUUCGGAUUGGGGUCUGCAACUCGACCCCAUGAAGUCGGAGUCGCUAGUAAUCGCAGAUCAGCAAUGCUGCGGUGAAUACGUUCCCGGGCCUUGUACACACCGCCCGUCACGUCAUGAAAGUUGGUAACACCCGAAGCCCAUGGCCUAANC
rnacentral:rRNA from 1 species